CGCGCGCUAAGCUGAAGUCCACGUGGACGGAGUCGCAGGCAACAGCUAGUUUAUCAUAUCUGCAUAU